rnacentral:rRNA from 1 species
UAAGCGGAGGAAAAGAAACUAACAAGGAUUCCCCUAGUAACGGCGAGUGAAGCGGGAAGAGCUCAAAUUUGAAAUCUGGCAGUCUUCGAUUGUCCGAGUUGUAAUCUAUAGAGGCGUUUUCCGUGCCGGACCGUGUCCAAGUCUCCUGGAAAGGAGUAUCAAAGAGGGUGAUAAUCCCGUACUUAACACGACCACCGGUGCUCUGUGAUACGUCUUCUACGAGUCGAGUUGUUUGGGAAUGCAGCUCAAAAUGGGUGGUGAAUUCCAUCUAAAGCUAAAUAUUGGCGAGAGACCGAUAGCGAACAAGUACCGUGAGGGAAAGAUGAAAAGCACUUUGGAAAGAGAGUUAAACAGUACGUGAAAUUGUUGAAAGGGAAACGAUUGAAGUCAGUCGUGUUCUUUGGAUUCAGCCAGUUCUGCUGGUCUACUUCCUUGGAACGGGUCAACAUCAGUUUUGUCCGGUGGAUAAAGGUAGUAGGAAUGUGACUUCCCCGGAAGUGUUAUAGCCUAUUAUCACAUACACUGGGUGAGACUGAGGACUGCAGCUCGCCUUUAUGGCCGGUCUUCGGACACGUUCGAGCUUAGGAUGUUGACAUAAUGGCUUUAAACGACCCGUCUUGAAACACG